ensembl:lncRNA
GUGUAUUGUGUGUUAAUGCAGGUGUGUUAGUGUGUGUUAAUGCAGGUGUAUUAUUGUGUGUUAAUGCAGGUGUGUUAGUGUGUGUUAAUGCAGGUGUGUUAUUGUGUGUUAAUGCAGGUGUGUUAGUGUGUGUUAAUGCAGGUGUGUUAAUGCAGGUGUAUUAGUGUGUGUUAAUGCAGGUGUGUUAGUGUGUGUUAAUGCAGGUGUGUUAAUGCAGCUGUAUUAGUGUGUGUUAAUGCAGGUGUAUUAGUGUGUGUUAAUGCAGGUGUAUUAUUGUGUGUUAAUGCAGGUGUGUUAGUGUGUGUUAAUGCAGGUGUGUUAGUGUGUGUUAAUGCAGGAGUAUUAGUGUGUGUUAAUGCAGGUGUAUUAGUGUGUGUUAAUGCAGGUGUGUUAAUGCAGGUGUGUUAAUGCAGGUGUGUUAGUGUGUGUUAAUGAAGGUGUGUUAAUGCAGGUGUGUUAGUGUGUGUUAAUGCAGGUGUAUUAUUGUGUGUUAAUGCAGGUGUAUUAUUGUGUGUUAAUGCAGGUGUGUUAGUGUGUGUUAAUGCAGGUGUAUUAGUGUGUGUUAAUGCAGGUGUGUUAGUGUGUGUUAAUGCAGGUGUAUUAUUGUGUGUUAAUGCAGGUGUAUUAUUGUGUGUUAAUGCAGGUGUGUUAGUGUGUGUUAAUGCAGGUGUGUUAGUGUGUGUUAAUGCAGGUGUGUUAAUGCAGGUGUGUUAUUGUGUGUUAACGCAGGUGUGUUAGUGUG